rnacentral:rRNA from 1 species
GCAUUAUACCGCGAAACUGCGAAUGGCUCAUUAUAUAAGUUAUCGUUUAUUUGAUAGCACUUUACUACUUGGAUAACCGUGGUAAUUCUAGAGCUAAUACAUGCUAAAAACCCCGACUUCGGAAGGGGUGUAUUUAUUAGAUUAAAAACCAACGCCCUUCGGGGCUCCCUGGNGAUUCAUAAAAACUUCUCCAAUCCCAUGGCCUUGCGCCCGCGAAGGUUCAUUCCAAUUUCUUCCCUAUCAACUUUCCAUGCGAGGGUCUUGUCCUCGCAUGGUUGCAACGGGGUNCGGGGAANANAUGGAGAGCAUCGCCGGCGCAAGGGACGGNAAUUACAAGAGNUAAUAUGNAAUAGGGGGGCCCNGGGGGUUGGGUUUUAUCUACUAAANAACNCUUCCGAAGAGGGGUUUGCAUGUUUUUUCUCUAUAAUUUCAGGUNUUCCUGUNUGNGGUAUNAAUAAACGAUAUAAUNUGAGNAUCAGNUNGUUUGUNGCUUNUNAUUUAGNGGGNAAUCUUNGANAGUUGAAGUACCACAAG